ensembl:lncRNA
GGGCUUUAACAGAAUAAGUGUCAGUACUGAUGUGCUUUAACAUGGACUACUGCAGCAAAACUGAAAAGUGAAAGAAGAAAACAGCAAAGUUAGUUGACAUUUAUAUGGCAGCGGAAGAGCGGUUUGACAACAUGGUGUCUGACAUGUAAGUGGGUAUGAAGCAAAGGUGUUUGUUGAUGUGAUCUGCUCUUGGAUGUCUGGGAAUGCUGCCUUUGUUGAACAGUGCUUCCACACAUCCCAAACUGCAGCACUUCUUUCCCUGUAACAAGUAGGUAAUCAACAACCACUGCCACAAAUAUGGUGAUAGUCUGCUGGUUACUAUACGUGGAGGCAUUAAAGCCAAACACUAUACGUGAAGGCUAAAGCUAAAGAGUGGUAGGGUUGCUGUUUGAAACUGGAGUUUCAAUUCCCUGUGAGAAUUUGUUGGUUGAUACUUCAUAUCUUUGUAACUUUCAGGAAGUUCUGAAAUCUUUAUUUCACUAUGAAAAUCCCAGCAAUCUGUUACAGGUGGCAUUACUUAAGUAGGUGGUUUAGAUCAGGUGAUCUCCAGGAGACCCUUCCAGCCUCAAUCAUUCUUUGAUGCUCUGAUUUUUUUCUUGCCAAUUAGCUCUCUAGAAGUGUACUGGGAGUCAGCAGAUGUCACGACCCAAUCAUAUCAGAGUUGUGGAGGUUUUGAAAUUCCCUCAGGUUAAAUUAAGGUGAAACAACAACAAACAACCAGUUAAAUGCUUAUUUAUUUCCCACUACGAUAUUUAGCACAAGAUGCUGAGUAUAUACAUAUAUAUAUAUAUGUACAUACCUGUACCUUACUGGCAAUAAGCUAUGAUUGUGUUACUUCUAAUAUAACUUGACAAGAGAAAAAUAAAAAGGGAGAGGUGGGGGGAAGGAUUACAAUGACUCUUUCCUCCAAUUGAGUUGGGAGUCGUGGAGACCCUGUUACUUAUCACGUAGGUCAUGUAGGUAUCUCUUGCAACUGGGAAAUUUGAGUGUGGGAAGGGGAAAGGAGUAGGGACAUCCAUCCUCCAAUGAACUCUCCACCCUCUUUGGCAAGCACUUUUGGUUCCCAAAUUCCAGCUGCAAACUAAGCGCACAGUUUCUGUUCCUUCUUUGUUGUUAAGCAGUGCGCCAGUGGUUGAGACAUUGAAACUUUUUUAGACUGUCCACAGGACUUUACAGUGGGAUAAGUUCUGUUAAGCUUUGUUAAUUCAUUGUGACACUUACUCAUUGUCGAUAUCAUCAGCACAAUUGCCAGGCAGAUCUCCCACUGGGGAGAAGUCUCUUCCUUCCUAAUAUAGCUGCUGCAGGGGUAUAAGAUCUGGCCGACCAGUUUACAUCUACAUAUGAGACAUGCAGAGAAACAGUUGCAAAAUGUCUAUCUUCCCUCAACAAGUGAGAAGAGGAGCUCUAAGCAUUAAAGAGGGUCUGUAUUAUCACAGGAAGCAACCAUCAACAUUGUCCAGAGAUUUCGAUAAAAAGCCCAUGCUUCUGCACAAAGAUUGUCUCAUGAAUCAGAGGAUCAUGUCCUUUGCAUGUAUGAUAUGGUUCUUAGAACAGAGUUAUAUAGGUAAGGCAUUUGCAUGGUGGGAAACUUCUUUAAUGGCAAAAGUCUCUGUAUGCCAGCAGAUACCAGGCUUCAAGAGUUUUGUUAAAUUAAUAAGCUUUAACAUUGUUGAAAGAUUCUGAAAAGUAAUUGUAAUCAUAACAUAAUUUUGGUUUAAAUUUUCAAGCCUUCUAUUUUCUACUGUAUUCAUGACAGAACUAAAUUGGCAACAAAUCAAAUAAAUGAUGUUAGAAUUAUUAAUAUAAAUCUAGAAACCUGACCAAAUUACACUGAACAUUCUGGUGCUGAGUUAGUUUUCUCACCCAUCAGCAAAAAGAAAACAGGAUUUGACUAUAGGGAUAAGAAGAAAAAAAGACAACGAGGAGAGGAACCACACAUCAUGAGAUGCCCAACUGGACCUUUCUUUAAGGAGACUGAGAGCUAUUCUAAGAGCUAUUUACAGACCUCUACUCUGGUUUCUUAAUAAAGACACUGACCACCUUGCUUUCCAGUUCCUGCCCAGUUUGGGAUUAUUAAAUCACAAAAGUAUGUCCUUCUCCUGCUGGUAGCCACAGAGGUCUUCUCCUGGUCACUUCCCUGCCUCAAGCUGCUGCUCUAGUGGCUGCUCUAGCCAGCUGUCCUACUCCUGCUCCUGUCUCUUGCUAUAGCAGCUCCAGUACUGCUGCCUCAUCCGGAUGACAGUUGUCACUCUUCUAUCAGUGUCUCCCACUUCAGCAAAGAGUAUGUGGCUGUGCAUGUGCACAUUUGUACUCAAGUACACUCCUGCUUUUUCAACUUGGAUUCUCAUCUAGCAGUAGCCCCUUAAAGUCUGCUAUGCAUUUUCUUUUGACUUCUGUGCUUUACUUCUGUAAAACCUACUGAGAUCUUUUACUCUCAGCAUUCUUAACUCAAGCACUUAAUCCAUACCAUUACAUGGUUAUCUGUUUCCUCCAUUAUGUGGAUGGUUACUCUACUCUACUCAAGUAGAAAGCCUUCUGAAUGAAUAAACGCUUACGUGCAAAUUGAACUUGUACUUCUGUACCUUGUUCCCUUCUACCUGUCUUAUUCUCUCCACCAAAUAUCAAUGGAGAGCUCUUCAUCUCAGAACUUCCAUCUCCCACACAGGAGCCAGGGAGCUGCUCUCUCGAUCACGUCCUGGUGCCAAAGCCCGUAUCUGUUUGACAGAACAAAAAGUGGCCUUGUCAUAUGCUAGGGAUGUAUUCUCUGUUCUCUUCAGUACACUGCUAAUUGUUAAAAACCUUGAAGAAAAUUGUAAUAAUUCAGAUGUAACUUUUGCUCAUAUUACUGUUCUCAGAGAGAGCAAAAAAGUAAAAUUUCAAGGGAAAGGGGUGUUUGGGAUAAAAAACUGCGAUUUUCAAGACCCAUGUUUCUGAAAAAUGUAUUUCUUCUGUCAGAGUUCUAGGACUUAAGAUGAAAGAUCAUUACUAACUAGGAUAAGUGCCUUUUUAUAUAAAGAAAUGUUUUUAGAGUAACUAGAAGAUAACAGCAAAAAUAAAACAGGAGUGUGCCUAUUGACUUAAGUUGUAUAGCUUGCUCAUGGGAAAGGGCUCCUUUAGUCUGUGUACCCACAUUUCAUGUUUCUAUAGCAGAAUUGGAGAACAGAAAGGAAGAAACUAGGAGCAGCAGAAGAGUCAAGAACCCUACAGUCAUGUCUUGGGUUGAAAGGGACCUUAAAACCCAUCUAGUUCCAACCCAUUGCUAUGGGCAGGGUUGCCUCCCUCUAGAUCAGGUUGCCCAGGGUCUAGUUCAAUCUGGCCUUGAGCACCUCCAAGGAUGAGUCAUCCUCAGCUUCUCUGGGUAGCCUGUGCCAGUGCCUCACCACCCUUACCAUGAAGGAUUUCUUCCUUAUAUCUAAUCUAAACAUACCCUUUCAGUGUAAAACCAUUACCCCUUGUCCUAUCACUACAUCAUGGUUGUCAGGGUAUUCAUAAUUGUGGAAAAGCCUCUUCCUGAAUUCAUUUCUCCAUAUGCUCCAUCCACAAUAUACAGGAAGGCGCUUGAUUUAAGCUUCGGGAAGGGAGGCUGGUAUGCCAGUGCUAGGGGUGAAAUAAAGCAUGGUGUACAGGAUCAACACUACCCCUGUCUGGUUCUUCUUAAAAAGUCUAUAUUUAUCCUAGCUUCUCUCAAUUUUACCAAGUUCAUUGGCUCCUAUAAAAUGCUGAGUCUGCAAGAGACACUGCCAAGUUCCAGUUACUUUUAUAGUCUGAGAUGAGUUUGGUUGUUAUUUGUUAUUAGUUUUUGUUUUUGUUUUUGUUUUUAAUUUGUAGGCCUUUUCUCAUUAACCUUCUUGUUUUUCAUUGCACAGUCUAGAUGGGGGUUUCCACUGAGAGAGUAUACGAAGAUGAAAGAGGAAGAAUUGCUAUGGGAAGAGGUUUUAUUAAAAAUACAGCUGAAGGUUUUUUCAUCAUAUCUUUGAGUAAACAUUAGUGGGAUAGUGACAGAAGAUGUGUCACUGGAUUUAUUUACUGUAAGACAGUUCUGCCGAGUAAAGUACCAUAUGAAAGCAGCAUGUGUUUUUUUAAUAUAAUGUAAAGAGUAACUUAUUACAGUGACUUUAUUUUCUUCUUGUUUGAUGGAUUGUUGCCAUUUAUUACCACCGAGUAAUGAAACCUAUACUGUGUUUUACACGACAGUAGAAUGUCUUGGGCAGCAUUAAUCAGCCUCACGAAGUGUUCAAGAGAAAUAAUGAAAGAAAGAACUGGCAUGCAAGGCAAGUGCCUUCCAGUUUGUCUCCUGCAACCUUCCUUCCUCUGAAACAUUCAUCAUCUUCCUCUUAGUUUGCCAGGAUCUAAAAUCAGGCAGAUAUUUUCUUAUUAAUAUUGAGGCAGGGCACUGAGAGCUGCCAUCACAUCUUUCUUUAGCUGAGAGAAAAUUACCUCAGCUUAAGCUCAACUACCUCCUGCUAUUUGUAAGUCUAGGGCUUCACAAGCUGUGUUACUUGGCUUGUAUGCUAUGUGCACCUUGAUGAUUCUCCAUGUUUUAUCAUAACUGAUUGUAUACAUAUUCUUAAAGCACGAGAGAGUCUGCAGGCUGGGAUAGAAUCUCAGUCCCAAAUGGAUCAGAAUCUAGGAGGUAAGAGGUGUGCUAGUGUAUCUAAAGGGAUAAGAGACAGCCAAGAAAUACAAGAUACAAAAACAAGGCUACCAAGGAGCUUAGUUCAUGGAGCAAUGAAUGUAUUUGCUGAGGACUUCACAUCCUUUUGGAUAGAAUAUCCGGGGACUGGUUGUCAGCAUACAAGGUGAAUCAAAAUGUGAAUCCUUUCAAGAGUUUGCAUAGAAACCAUGGAAUCUAAUGAGUCAGAAAUAGAGAUGCUCAAGGCACUCCAUUUUGUACUGUCAGAUCUUUUCUUUCUCAGAACUCUCAAGAGUUUUUGCUGUCUAUCAGUUGAACAUAAGGAACGUUUUUACUGCUAAGGAACAGGUAAAGCAAUUUGCUGGCAGAGGCUUUGCCUCUUGUUCUGUCCAGAUAAUGCCAGGGCAUAGAUCACUCUGAGCAAUUACAAUCAUCAGUAACAGAAUUUAGAAAUCACACUUUUGCUGUUAAACACUUGCCAUUACAUUAUAUGACUUCUACAAUGCAGAUCUUUCAUUUGGUACAACAUCAACAUCUUCCUCCUUAGCUAUGACUCCUGCCCUUUCCUCGUCAGUCUGGUUCACCGAAUUGCUAGUUGAUGAACAAAUACUCUGUGCAUGACAACAGAAGGUUAUGCUUUACUGUGUGUUCAUUACAGCCCUUAACCAGUAGCUGAAAGCGUAGUAAAAAAGAUAUCAAGAAAUUUUGUUUUCUGACGGACAUUUUUAUUUUGAUGGGGG